AAAUAAGCUUGGGUCUUUAAGGCUUGACCUUGGUGAAUGCAGUAAAAAAUAUUUAAAAAAGAUCUUAUGUGUAAAACACUUCAAUGUGCUUUUUUAUAUUUUUUAAUUUUUUAGGCCAACUCUCACGUGUUGGCGGAAAGUUACCAAAAUAUGUUAUGGACUUAAUUCAGAGAUAAUGUUGCUAAACGAUUUACAGUCGAUAAUCUUUCGAAAGCAGAAAAACUCAGGUUAGCAUCAGUUAGAAAGUUAGCGCAAUUUCUGGUAUUUGUGUGUCAAACAAAGAAUACACGAAUUAUUUGAGAUAUGAUUGAAAUUUGCAAAGAAAGUAAAAAUCAAACUAGUUUCAUUCUUAGUUAUUGUAUAUAAUUUUAAAAUUUUGGAAUAGAAGUGA